rnacentral:rRNA from 1 species
UACGUAGGUGGCAAGCGUUGUCCGGAUUUAUUGGGUUUAAAGGGUGCGUAGGCGGUCUAUUAAGUCAGUGGUGAAAUACUCCAGCUUAACUGGAGGGGUGCCAUUGAUACUGAUGGACUUGAGUGAAGUCGAGGUAGGCGGAAUUGACGGUGUAGCGGUGAAAUGCUUAGAUAUCGUCAAGAACACCAAUAGUGAAGACAGCUUACUAGACUUAUACUGACGCUGAGGCACGAAAGUGUGGGGAUCAAACAGG